UUUGUGUGUGUUCUGGUCGUACAAAACACAGGAGCCAAGAAGGGCUCUCAAGCUCAAACCCUAACAAGCAUAAAAUCAACAAAUUGAAGGGGUAAAUCCAACCUAAAUCGAAAUCCAAGCACGAAUUCAUGAUCACCUCGAUGAAGGGAUCAUAAGUUUGACUCUUGACAAGCUAGAUGGAGGCUUGGGGAAAGAAGCGGGUCAAACGGAUCGUAUACGCGGAAAAGAGCAUAAUCCGGAUACUAGGAAUAAAUAUCGAUUGAAUGUUGACAUCGCUAUUACUUAGCGGCUACUAAGGCAAGGUGAAGAUGGACCUAAUCCGGAUGAAGAUCAAGCGGCGAGCAAGAACCGAACACACGUUAAAUGAAGCUUCCGCGUAAAAUCUUGAUUUGUGUUGAUAUAAGUGAAUUAUGUAAACACUUAUAAAUUGUUUUUGAAAUGUUGUAAUCAUUUGGGAAUGUUGGUAUAACAAGUUUUGUAAAGACACAUUUUAGCAUAAAAAUUUGUAUCUUUUAUUAAAAUAUUAAUAAAACCAGACGGGCGU
rnacentral:lncRNA from 1 species